rnacentral:rRNA from 1 species
UACAGAGGGUGCAAGCGUUGUUCGGAAUUAUUGGGCGUAAAGGGUGUGUAGGUGGCGCGCUAAGUCGGGUGUGAAAUUUCGGAGCUUAACUCCGAAACUGCAUUCGAUACUGGCGUGCUUGAGGACUGGAGAGGAGACUGGAAUUUACGGUGUAGCAGUGAAAUGCGUAGAUAUCGUAAGGAAGACCAGUGGCGAAGGCGGGUCUCUGGACAGUUCCUGACACUGAGACACGAAGGCCAGGGGAGCAAACGGG